CUAUGGAGUGUGCCAUUUUACUGGGCUCUCUCCUGCUACAAUGGCGUAUACAACGAGUUGCCAACCUGCGAAGGUGAGCUAAUCUCUUAAAGUACGUCUCAGUUCGGACUGCAGUCUGCAACUCGACUGCACGAAGUCGGAAUCGCUAGUAAUCGCGGAUCAGCACGCCGCGGUGAAUACGUUCCCGGGUCUUGUACACACCGCCCGUCACACCAUGGGAGUUUGUAAUGCCCAAAGCCGGUGGCCUAACCUUCGGGAGGGAGCCGUCUAAGGCAGGACAGAUGACUGGGGUGAAGUCGUAACAAGGUAGCCGUAGGAGAACCUGCGGUUGGAUCACCUC
rnacentral:rRNA from 1 species